GAUGAACGCCGGCGGCGUGCCUAACACAUGCAAGUCGAACGGUGAACGAGGGAGCUUGCUCCCUCCGGAUCAGUGGCGAACGGGUGAGUAACACGUGAGCAAUCUGCCCUGGACUCUGGGAUAAGCGUUGGAAACGACGUCUAAUACCGGAUACGAGGCGUAGGGGCAUCCCCAACGCCUGGAAAGAACUUCGGUCCAGGAUGAGCUCGCGGCCUAUCAGCUAGUUGGUGAGGUAACGGCUCACCAAGGCGACGACGGGUAGCCGGCCUGAGAGGGUGACCGGCCACACUGGGACUGAGACACGGCCCAGACUCCUACGGGAGGCAGCAGUGGGGAAUAUUGCACAAUGGGCGCAAGCCUGAUGCAGCAACGCCGCGUGAGGGACGACGGCCUUCGGGUUGUAAACCUCUUUUAGCAGGGAAGAAGCGAAAGUGACGGUACCUGCAGAAAGAGCACCGGCUAACUACGUGCCAGCCGCCGCCGUAA
rnacentral:rRNA from 1 species